AACGAACGCUGGCGGCAUGCCUAACACAUGCAAGUCGAACGAGACCUUCGGGUCUAGUGGCGCACGGGUGCGUAACGCGUGGGAACCUGCCCUUAGGUUCGGAAUAACUCCCCGAAAGGGGUGCUAAUACCGGAUAAUGUCUUCGGACCAAAGAUUUAUCGCCUUUGGAUGGGCCCGCGUUGGAUUAGCUAGUUGGUAGGGUAAAAGCCUACCAAGGCGACGAUCCAUAGCUGGUCUGAGAGGAUGAUCAGCCACACUGGGACUGAGACACGGCCCAGACUCCUACGGGAGGCAGCAGUGGGGAAUAUUGGACAAUGGGCGAAAGCCUGAUCCAGCAAUGCCGCGUGAGUGAUGAAGGCCUUAGGGUUGUAAAGCUCUUUUACCCGGGAUGAUAAUGACAGUACCGGAGAAUAAGCUCCGGCUAACUCCGUG
rnacentral:rRNA from 1 species